rnacentral:rRNA from 1 species
GAUGAACGCUGGCGGCGUGCCUAAUACAUGCAAGUCGAGCGAACGGACGAGAAGCUUGCUUCUCUGAUGUUAGCGGCGGACGGGAGAGUAACACGUGGAUAACCUACCUAUAAGACUGGGAUAACUUCGGGAAACCGGAGCUAAUACCGGAUAAUAUUUUGAACCGCAUGGUUCAAAAGUGAAAGACGGUCUUGCUGUCACUUAUAGAUGGAUCCGCGCUGCAUUAGCUAGUUGGUAAGGUAACGGCUUACCAAGGCAACGAUGCAUAGCCGACCUGAGAGGGUGGUCGGCCACACUGGAGGUGAGACACGGUCCAGACUCCUACGGGAAGCAGCAGUAGGGAAUCUUCCGCAAUGGGCGAGAGCCUGACGGAGCAACGCCGCGUGAGUGAUGAAGGUCUUCGGAUCGUAAAACUCUGUUAGUAGGGAAGAACAUAUGUGUAAGUAACUGUGCACAUAUUGACGGUACCUAAUCAGAAAGCCACGGCUAACUACGUG